GUGGGGAAUCUUGCGCAAUGGGCGAAAGCCUGACGCAGCCAUGCCGCGUGGAUGAUGAAGGUCUUAGGAUUGUAAAAUCCUUUCACCGGUGAAGAUAAUGACUGUAGCCGGAGAAGAAGCCCCGGCUAACUUCGUGCCAGCAGCCGCGGUAAUACGAAGGGGGCUAGCGUUGCUCGGAUUUACUGGGCGUAAAGGGCGCGUAGGCGGACAUUUAAGUCAGGGGUGAAAUCCCGGGGCUCAACCUCGGAACUGCCUUUGAUACUGGGUGUCUUGAGUAUGAGAGAGGGGUGUGGAACUCCGAGUGUAGAGGUGAAAUUCGUAGAUAUUCGGAAGAACACCAGUGGCGAAGGCGACACACUGGCUCAUUACUGACGCUGAGGCGCGAAAGCGUGGGGAGCAAACAGGAUUAGAAACCCCUGUAGUCC
rnacentral:rRNA from 1 species